GCCUGCGCUCAAAAAUGAGCCAAGAGAAACCAUGCGAUCAAAACAUUUACAAACAGCCAGAUUACAAAAGGCAACAAUUCACAUGACCAAGUCAUUUUCGGGAAAACCUUCAGGAUGUGCUUUGAAAACGUGGACGCAAGCAUCCUGCCAGUCUCCUUUAAUCAUUUCUACAUUAUUGUCAAACAAAAAAAAAAUCAUUAACGGAAGCUCAUCUGGUUUGUGGACAAUGAAAACGAUUUGAGAAGAAUCUUCAACUGGGGAA